AUGCCUAGUGGCGGACGGGUGAGUAACACGUGAGCAACCUAUCCUAUACAACGGGAUAACACAGAGAAAUUUGUGCUAAUACGGUAUAAGACCACACUCCGGCAUCGGAGAGGGGUAAAAGCUGAGGCGGUAUAGGAGGGGCUCGCGGCCCAUUAGCUAGUUGGAGAGGUAACGGCUCACCAAGGCGACGAUGGGUAGCCGAUCUGAGAGGAUGAACGGCCACAUUGGAACUGAGAAACGGUCCAAACUCC
rnacentral:rRNA from 1 species